UCCGGUUUGACACCGGCAGUCCCGCUAGAGUCCUCAGCAUUACCUGUUAGCAACUAGCGGCAGGGGUUUCGCUCGUUAAGGGACUUAACCCGACACUUCACAGCACGAGCUGACGACAGCCAUGCAGCACCUGUGCACGUUCCACCCCGAAGGGCGUCACCUCUGUUUCCAGAGACUAAUCCGUGCAUGUCAAGCCCAGGAUAAGGUUCUUCGCGUUGCCUCGAAUUAAGCCACAUGCUCCACCGCUUGUGUGAGCCCCCGUCAAUUCCUUUGAGUUUUAGCCUUGCGACCGUACUCCCCAGGCGGUGCACUUAAUACUUUUGCUUCGGCCCGGGGGGUGUCAGAACCCUCCAGACCUAGUGCACAACGUUUACGGCGUGGACUAC
rnacentral:misc_RNA from 1 species